GUCUACGGCCAUACCACCCUGAACAGCACCCGAUCUCACCUGAUCUCGGAAGCUAUGCAGGGCUGGGCCUGGUUAGUACUUGGAUGGGAGACCACCUGGGAAUACUGGGUGCAGUAGGCU